UACGGAGGGUGCAAGCGUUAAUCGGAAUUACUGGGCGUAAAGCGUGCGCAGGCGGUUUUGUAAGUCAGGUGUGAAAUCCCCGGGCUUAACCUGGGAACUGCGCUUGUGACUGCAAGACUCGAGUACGGCAGAGGGGGGUAGAAUUCCACGUGUAGCAGUGAAAUGCGUAGAGAUGUGGAGGAAUACCGAUGGCGAAGGCAGCCCCCUGGGUCGAUACUGACGCUCAUGCACGAAAGCGUGGGGAGCAAACAGG
rnacentral:rRNA from 1 species